GCCAAUGCCAAUGACUUCUUGGGAUUUUUCUCACAGACAUAGCAGGAAGCCUUGGUCCAAAUUCAUCAACGCUGACAAUCGUCAUUUGGUCUCACCUGAGGCGAUUGAUUACCUGGACAAGCUUCUUCGGUAUGAUCAUCAAGACAGAUUAACUGCAAAAGAAGCAAUGGCUCACCCGUAUUUUGCGCAAGUCAGGGC